rnacentral:rRNA from 1 species
UACACUCCUGCGGGAGGCAGCAGUGGGGAAUAUUGGACAAUGGGCGCAAGCCUGAUCCAGCCAUGCCGCGUGAGUGAUGAAGGCCCUAGGGUUGUAAAGCUCUUUCACCGGUGAAGAUAAUGACGGUAACCGGAGAAGAAGCCCCGGCUAACUUCGUGCCAGCAGCCGCGGUAAUACGAAGGGGGCUAGCGUUGUUCGGAUUUACUGGGCGUAAAGCGCACGUAGGCGGACUAUUAAGUCAGGGGUGAAAUCCCGGGGCUCAACCCCGGAACUGCCUUUGAUACUGGUAGUCUUGAGUUCGAGAGAGGUGAGUGGAAUUCCGAGUGUAGAGGUGAAAUUCGUAGAUAAUCGGAGGAACACCAGUGGCGAAGGCGGCUCACUGGCUCGAUACUGACGCUGAGGUGCGAAAGCGUGGGGGGCAAACAGGAUUAGAUACCCGUGUAGUCCCAU